AUCCAUUAAAAGUGGAUGGAUCAGGAUGGAUAUAUGGUUUUGGAUUAAAAUUGCCCCCAAGGAGUUAUUUUUCUUGGAAGAUUAACAUGCCAGUGAUAUCAGGUACGUGGCUCAUAAUUGGAAGCUUAUAUCUGCCCGCUAGUUCUGGAUGAUGAUGGAGCAAAUUGGCAGGAUGAGCGCUUAGGUCCAUUGAUAACUUCUAUGUGCAAGUAGCAGCAAGCUAGUCAGAUACAACAUGGUAUUACGAACUUCCUGUCCUUUCUUGUCCAAACGAUAGCUGCCUUACUUAUUAUGAUGCUGCAUAACAACGAAAGAAAAUGAUUUUUGCAACAGUCCAUCAAAUUUUGUUCAUCUGCAGUCUCAUUCUCUUUGGUAGAUGGAUAUUCCUGCAAUCCAUGUGGAAUGCAGAAGCUUUUAAGAGAUCUAGUUUCCAGCUGGGAGUGAUGUUGACUGCCGGAGAAAAAUCUCACGGGCCUAAGAGUGCGGUAAAGUUGCUAAGGCGCAAUCCCAUUAUACCCAAGUACUUAGGUAUCACGGAUGUUCCAAGCAAUCAUGAAGAACUUGCUAGUCCUUCCUGAUCGAUCCCAAGAGCAGAGUAGGUCCUUGCCAACAAUAAUCGAAGACAGCGCGGUAUGGGAAUAUGAUUGGCAGAUUUCUACAUCACAGUAGCAGCAGUACUGCAUGCAUCGAUGCAACCGUGCGCUAGAUACAAUCACUUGUAUGCCAUGUCUAACCAGAUUUGGCACAAUAAUUAUUUCUCUAUCAAAGUAUGGAGAUAUGUAUCUCAGUUUGAUCAAGCAAAAUGGGAAACAUGAUAAAUUUUUUCUU